CGAACGGGUGAGUAACACGUGGGCAACCUGCCCAAAAGAGGGGGAUAACACUUGGAAACAGGUGCUAAUACCGCAUAACCAUAGUUACCGCAUGGUAACUAUGUAAAAGGUGGCUAUGCUACCGCUUUUGGAUGGGCCCGCGGCGCAUUAGCUAGUUGGUGGGGUAAAGGCUUACCAAGGCGAUGAUGCGUAGCCGAACUGAGAGGUUGAUCGGCCACAUUGGGACUGAGACACGGCCCAAACUCCUACGGGAGGCAGCAG
rnacentral:rRNA from 1 species